UCCAAUUCAGGUCAAGGGCUACUGGUUUC
rnacentral:piRNA from 1 species